UGACGUUCUGACUUGUGGCUUAUUGUAGAAGGGCUGUUAAAUUUUUUUAUGUGCCAUGGCCUUUAGCUUCCUACUUUCUUCCUACAGUUAUAUGACGUCAGCGAUCAGAGCGAGAAGAACGGGUUCUCUCGCUGCUGAAAGCGAGGACAGAUUCUCUCGCUGUUUCGCUCGCUAAGCCAAGCCGAACCAAACGAAACGCGACGUGCCCGGAUCCCAAUGCCCCCAAUAAUGGGCAUUGCUAAUUUAUGCCAUUGUAAAUAUUUUACAACACAAAACGAAAUUUUACAUGGAUUCAAAUAAAACUUUCCAUGCAAAACGGGGUAAGCGGAUUAAAUACAUCUUUAAAUUCUUUUGUUAAUAACUUUUUAACAAAAACGCGUGACGGCUAAAACUUUUGAGCCUUCACUCAGAGUCAAAACCUUGACAUUACAUGUCAAAGUCAAUGAAAUCGAUCGUCGGUAUUAUGCAGUUUUAAUUUAAAUUCUGUCAAGGAUUGACAAGAAGAAAUACAAUAAACACAAUUAUUAAUAAAAAAACAUGAAUAUUUAUAUAAAGAAAUGGUAACGAUAAUAAAAAGUGUUUCUCCAAUAAAGCAAUAUUCGCAAUAUGACAAUCUUCCACGCGCAACAAAUACACAUAUGAUUAUUGUAAUCAUGACAUCUCUCAAUAAUCACAAUGAUAGGCGUUGUAUGAUGUACAUAGCAUAUACGUAUAUCGUCAUAUAUUUAAAAAUACAUUAGAUUAAAGGAUUGCCAACAAUUGUACGCAUGGGGACACAAAUGUCUAAAUAUCCAAAGUUGCACGCGUAUCGGAGAAGACAUGAGAAGGAAUGAGAAGGCAUGAAAAAGCAUGUUAAGGCAUUUGUGUUCCCGUAUGUACAUAUUCGUAAAAAAGAUAAGAAAAUAAGUGAAGAAAGUUAAGUAAGAAAAAUUAAUUGUGAUCGACUUCUGGGCUUGAUGUUUUACUUUUACAAAUAACAUUCAAAUAAAAAGUUCAUAAAAAAAAAUAAGAGAAAUAUCUCCUUUCCAUUAGUCUUGUUUUAGGAGCUGCGCACAAUCAAAGAUACAGGACACAGGGAAGAGAGAAUAAAGAUUUCAACUUAUCAGAAACUACGUACUGUAGAAUAGUUUUAGAUGGAUUGGAAUUCUUAUUCUGUUCCCUGUUUCGUGUUCCUGAUGGUGUGCAGCUCUUUAAAACUCGACCAGUCUGCAUAUAUAAGAUUGUUCAAAUAUAUUUUGUAAGAAAUGUUAAUAUCAAAUUUUUCUUGUUUUAAAUCAUUGAAUUUUUUAUUGGAUUUUUAUGCUUCUUUUUUUAGAUCAAAGAUUAGACCAAAAUCGUUUCUAAUCUUAUUUUUAUGUCUAAAUAUAGGCCAUGCUGUCAGAUUAACAUUUCCGAUUCUCUAAUAAGAGUAUAAAUGAUUAAAAAAAAAAACAAAUGACAGUCCUAAAGUGAUAAUAUGCAAGGUAUUUAUAUUCUUAUAUAUCAGCUUGAACUAGUCCUAUAAUUAUAUUCAUUUGUGCGCGCAAAUGAAAUUGAGAGAAUAUACCCGACUGAUUAAAUUCCGAAUAAUUAUCAAAUUUACUGCUACUUAAUCAUAAAAAUAGGUACGGCUAACAAUAAUAAAAAAGAAUAUUGUUAACGAAUAUUGUCAAAUCGUCUUCGUGACAAAAUCUUUCGUUGCUCCCGUCAACGAGAGGAGGGGCUGUUUCUCGCAGCAAAAUUAUAAAUUAAUGUAAAAGUAUCUCAAAUACAAAUAUGUUUGCGCAUAUUAUGAUAUAAAAAGACUUUGUCAAAAUGUACAAAACUCCGAUUUUGUGUGCGUCGCCUAAUACGCUAAAAUUGUUAUAUAUCUUUCAUUUCGCAAAUACCGAAUGUCGAAAUUAAAUUCGAUCGUUAUGCGAGUUUAACAUUAUAGAAAUGGAUCGCAAAACUGUCGAUAAUUGAAAAAUGCAAUAUUCAUAUUUCUUGAUAAAAUUUUGUUAGAUACUGGAGCAUUAUAGUGAGCGGUGAAAUUUUAUUUACUAAUUCUAUUAAUCAUUGAUUGUAUGAUUUAUCAUCGAUUAUUUUUCAAAUAAUAUACAUAAUGUGUGUAUGUGCGUGUGUGCGUGCGUGUGUGUGUGUGUGUAAUACUGAUCUAACCAGUUCCAAAGAUUUUUGGCAGUCGGAUUU